rnacentral:rRNA from 1 species
AUGAAUAUCCUAAGUUGGAACUGUCGGGGCGGGGGGAACACCCGGACAGUUCGUGAUCUCGUGAGUCUAGUCCAGGCUCAUUCCCCUAGUAUUGUUUUUCUUUGUGAAACUAGGAAAUCAAAAAAUAAAAUGAAGAGGUAUUGUGCUAGGUUAGGCUUGAGAGGUUUUGACGCUUGUGAUAGCAUUGGUCUUAGUGGCGGUCUUGCUUUGUACUGGCAUGAGUCGUUGAGUCUUGAUGUAAAAGCUAUAAAUGAGAGAUACAUUGAUGUGUACGUGACUUCUGUGGCGGGUGAGCCACCUUGGAGGCUUACCCGCGUUUACGGCGAACCCCGGGUGGAGGACCGUCAUCACAUGUGGUCCCUCCUUCGGGAUCUCCACCAGCAAGCCGAUAUGCCAUGGGCUAUGUUUGGAGACUUCAACGAGGCGAUGUGGAGCUUUGAACACUUCUAUGAAUCGCCUAGGUCGGCAGGUCCGAUGAUCGACUUUCGUGAUGUUCUGGAAGUUUGUGGUUUGGGUGAUCUUGGUUUUGCAUGCCUACCUUAUACGUAUGAUAAUCGCCGAAGUGGCCGGGCUAAUGUUAAAGUCCGGUUGGACCGUGCUGUUGCCAACAACGCUUGGCGUGACUUGUUCGCUAGCGCCAAGGUGGAGCACAUUGUGGCACCUAGCUCGGAUCACCUAGCUAUUUUGCUACGGUGUCUACUUGAGGACCCUCUACCAGUGACCGGCAGGAAAAUGCCGCCAAUAUGA